UACAGAGGGUGCGAGCGUUAAUCGGAAUUACUGGGCGUAAAGCGCACGUAGGUGGCGACGUAAGUCGGGUGUGAAAGCCCUGGGCUCAACCUGGGAACUGCAUUUCAGACUGGCGGACUAGAGUACGGUAGAGGGCGGUGGAAUUCCCUGUGUAGCGGUGAAAUGCGUAGAGAUGCGGAGGAACACCGAUGGCGAAGGCAGCCCCCUGGGCUGACACUGACGCUCAGACACGAAAGCGUGGGGAGCAAACAGG
rnacentral:rRNA from 1 species